ensembl:snRNA U6 U6 spliceosomal RNA
AUGCUCACUUCGGCAGCACAUCUACUAAAAUUGGAACAAUGAUAUAGAGAGGAUUAGCAUGGCCACUGCGCAAGGAUGACACGCAAAUUCGUGGAGUGUUCCAUAUUUUU